AUCCACUUCUACAUAUAUUGAAACUAAGGGUCCUACAAAAAUGGUAUAGUCAGUGGCUUAUCUGUAAAAUAGAGACCAUUUGAAACGAUUAUAGAAUUUACAUACUGGCCUAUCUGCUAUUGAGGAAACAUUAAAUACAUUCGAUAGGCUUAUGCAUAUCAUAGCUCUGGUUUAGAUCCCUGUAAUAUGGAUACCGUCCAUAGGACGUUGUUGAGUUUACUUUGCUGUUGCAUAUCCGUGUAAAAUGACUGCGUAAACGACUUUAAGCUGCUGGCACUCUGAAAACGAAACUAACCAAGCAUACAGUGCUAGCCAAUGGGCGUGAUAUUAUAGUAACAGACAUAGUAAAGGUCCAUUGAAUGGUAACCGUAGGCGGACGUGAGUAUUGCCGCACACUACACACAGUAAUUUACGGAAACUUCCAGUAAACAGGUGUUUGUUGUAGGGUUCUCAGGACUCCGGCAUGCACGCCCACGCAGUACUGUUGUGAGGUGAAUAGACGAGACAUAAUUGGUGCAUCAUGUUUGGGGGACAUAGUCACAGCAUAUUGGUUUAAAAAGUACUGACAUAUACACACCACAGAUAUGUACAUAUUUACUUUAGUUCAUGUGUAAUAAUGACCAGACACUUGUAUCCUUACGCGUCAUUUCACCUUUCUUGGCACACUUGAACGUUGGGCCAGUAACCGAAAGGUCCCAAGUUCGAAUCCCACGAGCAGACAAGGUUUUGAACAGCACCACAGAAGGGUGGAGAAUAGAGCCAGAGUAUUGAUUUGAGAUUUGAGUAAGGACCUGAGCCCUAGGACCAUGCCUCAGGACUACCUGGCAUGAUGACUCCUUGCUGUCCCCAGUCCACCUGGCCGUGCUGCUGCUCCAGUUUCAACUGUUCUGCCUAUGGCUAUGGAACCCUGACCUGUUCACCGGACGUGCUACCUGUCCCAGACCUGCUGUUUUCAACUCUCUAGAGACAGCAGGAGCGGUAGAGAUACUCCUAAUGAUCGGCUAUGAAAAGCCAACUGACAUUUACUCCUGAGGUGCUGACUUGUUGCACCCUCGACAACAAAUGUGAUUAUUAUUAUUUGACCAUGCUGGUCAUUUAUGAACAUUUGAACAUCUUGGCCAUGUUCUGUUAUAAUCUCCACCCAGCACAGCCAGAAGAGGACUGGCCACCUCUCAUAGCCUGGGUUCUCUCUAGGUUUCUUCCUAGGUUUUGGCCUUUCUAUGGAGUUUUUCCUAGCCACCGUGCUUCUACACCUGCAUUGCUUGCUGUUUGGCGUUUUAGGCUGGGUUUCUGUACAGCACUUUGAGAUAUCAGCUGAUGUAAUAAGGGCUAUAUAAAUCAAUUUGAUUUGAUUGGAAUUAGCCUAUCAGAAGCUUCUAAAGCCAUGACAUCAUUUUCUAGAAUUUUCCAUGCUGUUUAUAGGCGAAGUCCACUUUGUGUAUGUAAACUUCUGACCCACUGUAAUUGUGAUACAACUUGCCAAAACUAUAGUUUGUUAAACAAGAAAAUUGUGGAGUGGUUAAAAAACAAGUUUUAAUGACUCCAACCUAAGUGUAUGUAAACUUCAGAGAGACUUGAAAUGUAGCUCAGGUGCAUUGGACUCCACCUGUGGUGAAUUCACUCUACCAAUCAGGCCUUUUUGGUAAAGUAGCCAGACAGAAGCCACUUCUCAGGACAGCCCGCUUGGAGUUUGCCAAAAGGCACCUAAAGACAAUGAAAAACAAGAUUCUCUGGUCUGAUGAAACCAAUUAUUCGGCCUGAAUGCCAAGUGUCACAUCUGGAGGAAAACUAGCACCACCCCUAUGUUGAAGCAUGGUGGGGGCAGCAUCAUGCUGUGAGGAUGUUUUUCAGCGGCAGGGACUGGGAGACUAGUCAGGAUUGAGGCAAAGAUGAACUGAGUAAAGUACAAAGAGAUCAUUGAUGAAAACCUGCUCCAGAGUGCUUAGGACCUCAAGACUGGGGGCACUGUAUUAGUGUGUUCGUGUGGGUUUUCAGUGAAUGUGUUUUAAGUCACAAGGCUCUUCUGCAUUUCCUGCAGUGCAAGAAAUAGCUUUUGGCUAUUUCAAAGCGGAAAAUAAGAAAUCCAGAUAUCAAUGAUUUUGUGUGACGAUUCUGGGUUUCGACAGUGAAGUCAAGUACACGCUCAGACUGGGUGGGUCGUUAACUGACUAAUGACAAUGUUGUGUAAGAGUUGCAUGCUGAUUUUGCUCCUCUGUUGGCGUAAUUGAGAGCUGAUCAACUGACUUACUGACCGCCGUUUAGGAGAAAUAUAGGUCAAUUUGUCCAUCUUAAGUUUGAUAAAGAAAGACAGGGGAAGGAAAGAGAGAAGAUAGACAAACUAUUGUUGUGCUGAAGGUGAAACACCUCCUGGGUGUUACUGUAGAGCUUCUGUGUCUCUGUACUGCUUAAAUUCACUGAAUGAUUAAACAGGUGGCCAUUGAUUCUUGUGGUAAACAUUAAUUGCAUACAAAAAAAGCCUUUUUCACUCUGAUUGGAUCAUCUGUCUGUCUCUGUAUCUCUCACAUUUCCCCCUUAAUACCAAUACAGCUUGUGAAGGCGUUA